GACGAACGCUGGCGGUGCGCUUAACACCUGCAAGUCGAGCGAAGCGGCGGACGGGUGAGUAACACGUGAGUAACCUGCCUUUGACAUUGGGAUAGCCUCGGGAAACUGGGAUUAAUACCAAAUGGUCAAAGAUGGACUCGCGGAUGAUUAGCUCGUUGGUGAGGUAACGGCCCAACAAGGCGAAGAUCAGUAGCCGGACGGAGAGGGUGAUCUGCCACAUUGGAACUGAGACACGGUCCAAACUCGACGGGAGGCAGCAGUGUGGAAUAUUGCACAAUGGUGGAAACCCUGAUGCAGCGACGCCGCGUGAGCGAAGAAGGCCUUAGUGUCGUAAAGCUCUUUUAUGAGGGAAGCGGUACCUCAAGAAAAAGCCCCGGCUAACUACGUGCCAGCAGCCGCGGUAAUAC
rnacentral:rRNA from 1 species